rnacentral:rRNA from 1 species
AACGAACGCUGGCGGCGUGCCUAAUACAUGCAAGUUGAGCGCUGAAGGUUGGUACUUGUACCAACUGGAUGAGCAGCGAACGGGUGAGUAACGCGUGGGGAAUCUGCCUUUGAGCGGGGGACAACAUUUGGAAACGAAUGCUAAUACCGCAUAAAAACUUUAAACACAAGUUUUAAGUUUGAAAGAUGCAAUUGCAUCACUCAAAGAUGAUCCCGCGUUGUAUUAGCUAGUUGGUGAGGUAAAGGCUCACCAAGGCGAUGAUACAUAGCCGACCUGAGAGGGUGAUCGGCCACAUUGGGACUGAGACACGGCUCAAACUCCUACGGGAGGCAGCAGUAGGGAAUCUUCGGCAAUGGACGAAAGUCUGACCGAGCAACGCCGCGUGAGUGAAGAAGGUUUUCGGAUCGUAAAACUCUGUUGGUAGAGAAGAACGUUGGUGAGAGUGGAAAGCUCAUCAAGUGACGGUAACUACCCAGAAAGGGACGGCUAACUACGUG